CAAAACAAAACUGCUGUUGUAAAAGUGAGAUACGAACACUUUCGUAUCGUAUAUUUAACCCUUUGCACUCCGCUGUCCCCUCUCGUGGGACAUCGUAAUUCUAGCUAUAUCUAUAGUUAUAUCUAAUCUAGCUAUAUCUAGCUAGUCAAAAAUCACAGUUACUUGUAAUAAUCAGUCGCUUCACGGACACCGCAAGCGCAAAAAGUUACGAUCUGAACGACCCUUUCCGAAUAACAAUGGCGGCAGUUAAUUACAUUCUAGUACGAGGUCGUUCGUUAAUUCCAGAAUACUUUGAAGGGUGUGAUGUCUUUGGCUUGGAUGCUAACGAUGUUUCCAGUUUGACUACAUCGUGUAUAAAAAUGAUAAACAACAGAGAGGAACACGGUUCAUCCUUCGGUGACUACAAGAUUUCAGGUUCAUCAUCAUUUGAGGUCAUAAACUGCCUGGCAAGGACGGGUUAUCGAGUUAUCAGUAGUACUCCAGAAUCAGGGUAUACAAUGUUGUGGAUGCUGAAGAAAGGCCUGUGAAAAAGAUCAAAACAAUGAUUGUUUAGAACUGUUUUAUUUCAUAAUAUAGAUACACUUUCAUAGCAGUA